AUUGAACGCUGGCGGCAUGCCUUACACAUGCAAGUCGAACGGCAGCACGGAGCUUGCUCUGGUGGCGAGUGGCGAACGGGUGAGUAAUAUAUCGGAACGUACCCUGGAGAGGGGGAUAACGUAGCGAAAGUUACGCUAAUACCGCAUACGAUCCAAGGAUGAAAGCAGGGGACCUUCGGGCCUUGUGCUCCUGGAGCGGCCGAUAUCUGAUUAGCUAGUUGGUGGGGUAAAGGCCUACCAAGGCAUCGAUCAGUAGCUGGUCUGAGAGGACGACCAGCCACACUGGAACUGAGACACGGUCCAGACUCCUACGGGAGGCGGCAGUGGGGAAUUUUGGACAAUGGGGGCAACCCUGAUCCAGCAAUGCCGCGUGAGUGAAGAAGGCCUUCGGGUUGUAAAGCUCUUUUGUCAGGGAAGAAAAGGGUGCGGCUAAUAUCUGCGCCUCAUGACGGUACCUGAAGAAUAAGCACCGGCUAACUACGUGCCAGCCGCCGCAGUAA
rnacentral:rRNA from 1 species